AGUGAACGCUGGCGGUAGGCCUAACACAUGCAAGUCGAACGGCAGCACAGUAAGAGCUUGCUCUUACGGGUGGCGAGUGGCGGACAGGUGAGGAAUACAUCGGAAUCUACUUUUUCGUGGGGGAUAACGUAGGGAAACUUACGCUAAUACCGCAUACGACCUACGGGUGAAAGCAGGGGAUCUUCGGACCUUGCGCGAUUGAAUGAGCCGAUGUCGGAUUAGCUAGUUGGCGGGGUAAAGGCCCACCAAGGCGACGAUCCGUAGCUGGUCUGAGAGGAUGAUCGGCCACACUGAAACUGAGAAACGGUCCAAACCCCUACGGGAGGCAGCAGUGGGAAAUUUUGGACAAUGGGCGAAAGCCUGAUCCAGCCAUACGGCGUGGGUGAAGAAGGCCUUCGGGUGGUAAGCCCUUUUGUUGGGAAAGAAAAGCAGCAGGUUAAUACCCCGCUGUUCUGACGGUACCCAAAGAAUAAGCACCGGCUAACUUCGUG
rnacentral:rRNA from 1 species